GACGUGUAUGAUGCCGUUUGUACUUACAUACAAUCAACAAAACGAAUAAUUUUUUAUUGUUCUCUUAUAAUUUGCUUGUUUUUGUAUGUAUCCUUUUUUUCUUUUUUUGCUCACAUCGAAUUGGUAACACUCCAAAAGAAUAGGUAAUCGUUUCAGCACGCAAUUCUUGGCCAAACCCCUCGUGUGCGUAUGAGCCACAACAUGAGGCCAUUGUCAUCAUCAUCGAGACCCUAGAACGGUGUGGUUGGUGUUCGGACGCAAGUCAGCGUCCCCUGGUAGCGGGAGAAAGCCGUCGGGCCGUGGGCCCUAGCGUGAUAGCCAGGAUGCCCGUAGGGGUAUCGUGGCUAUCACGCUCUGGCCCUGUCGCUCCCAGUCCAGGUUCACAGGCCCAACCUGUGGAAAUGGCGGUGUGCGGUGGUGGUAUACCUGUUGUAUACCUGUUGCAUUUGGGACUUCACUGAGAGAAUAAGAAGGAAUCGACGAUGGACUGCUACGCAACUAUUGCACCAGUGAAGGAUGUCUCUAUGCCGGUUUGCGCUCAGUUUCUCAGCCAGUGGUCCUGCUUGCAAUGUCAGUGUGCCACAGCAGUCUGUCUAAUGGUGCUCUUUGUUCUGGAAGGACGCAAGCAUUGUUGAGGAGCCAUUUGACCUGCCGCCACACUAAUAUUGUAUUUGGCAAAGCCGAAGGCCUCUGCAAGCAGCCAGUCAUUCCAAGUCUCAACCAAUCCUUCCUCUAGUCAG